GCUGGGACAGACCUGGAUCCCAGGGAGCUGCCUCUGUCCUGGGCACCUGAGACUGAACAGGGAUGUCACUAAGUUCCUCAGUCUGUCUAAUGGGACCCACUUCAUUAGUUUUUCAUUUGCUUGCUGAGGCUUCAGCUCCCUGCUCCCUCUGCUGGGGCUGCUCCAUUCCCAGCAUCAGAGACACAGCAAGGAAGGAUUUAGUGAGGAGGGAGCAGAGGAGGCAGGUACCAGCUUUGAACCCCCGAGGGAAGCUCCCUCCCCUAAGUGCAGCCUCCACUCCUCAGCCAGAGUAGGACGAGCCAAUUAAGAAAAGAGAGUACGAAAUGGCAUUGGGUGGGGUAUCCCCAUUCCCAGUCUAGAGAGAAGGGAGGAGUUAACAGCCUCACAGGGAGAGCAUCUCCCCAAUCCAGGAAGCAGGGAGCAGCUUCAGUGGGAGAGCCCAGCCCUGCCCAGAGGAAAGGCAGGAUGUUGGAGAACAGCGAUGGGGGAGACCCCCUGCACCGGGGUAAAGCAGAGGGAUGUGUCAGCUCUCAGGGCAGAGAGCUCUGUUCACAUGCUUCUCAAGGAGAGUUUUUCUGUUCAGCAGCAUGGGCAUGAACUCAGCACUAAGGCAUCUCCCAGCAAUGGAACCAACAUCUUUGCAGCCUCACAACUAUCCCAGGACCCACAAUCUCCCUCUCAGGAACCCGCCUUGUGCCUGCAGCUGCUGUGGAGGAGGUACCAGAGGCUCCUGUGCUGGACGGAUCCCUGAUCAUGGGGGAGGGGCUUUCUCCUUCCCCCUACAGCCUAUUUGGCCAUGACUAGCUGCCGUAUAGGACCAGAGCUCAGUGAUGGACUGGGUCCGCCUUUGAAAUAUGUGUCCCAUGGAUGGUGAUGGGGCAGUAGAUAGGGAGGGCUCUGUGUUAUAGAAAAUUCUUUGCCAUAUGUCUCACUGUUGGGUCUUGCCAAAAUGCUCGGUAUUCAACUGACCACCAUAUUUGGGGUCUGGAAAGGAAUUUCCUCCCAAGUCAGAUUGGCAGAGAGCCUGGGGGGGUUUCUGCCUUCCUCUGUGGUUGUGGGGGAUGGGUCACUUGCAGAUUUAAACUAGUGUCAGUAGUGGAUUCUCUGACCUGAAAUCUUUAAAUCAUGAUUUGAGGACUCCAGUAACUCAGUCAGAGGUUAGGGAUCUAUUGCAGGAGUGGGUGGGUGAGGUUCUGUGGCCUGCAAUGUGGAGGAGGUCAGACUGGAUGAUCAUGAUGGUCCCUUUUGGCCUUAAAGUCGAUGAGUCUGAGUCAUUUCUUUCUUUAACAGUAAUUGUCAUGGCAAGACAUAUUUUUGGUAGAAAUAAAGGUUUGAAUUAAUCAA